GGGGGUAUAGCUCAGUGGCAGAGUGUGUGUCUAGCAUGCAGGAGGUCCUGGGUUUAAUCCCCAGGACCUCCA
rfam:Camelus ferus unplaced genomic scaffold scaffold1532, whole genome shotgun sequence.